CCCGAACGUGCGAGACGCCGGGCCCCCGCCUCUGCCGCCGUUCUGCAGUGUCUGCACCCGGCCGCUUAAUGAGAUUUAUUCACGCUCGGCUCUGCUCAUCUUUGCCAGGGGUUGGCAGAUCCAGUGCACAGGGAUUUCCCACCGCAGUGUUUUUCUCCCGCCCCUUUGCUUCCCUCUCGCCGUAGUAUAUCCUUCCUUGGUUUCCUCCCGGGGCCCGCCGGCUGCGUCCCGGGCGCGCGCCUGGACAUGUAAGGACUUGUCAGUUCCCAGUGACCUCCCUCCUCCCCUGCCUUCUUCGGCGGAAUGUAGGAUUAAGAGCCCUUCAGCGAAAUUUUCGGCCAAAGAAAAAGGCCCAUGAAAGUCACCGCAUCAGAUGUGGACUCCCAGUGUUACUCAUUAAUGGUUUGUGUGAGGGUUUACUAGCCUAAGGCCAGAAAGCAAAAGGGAAGGCCCGUUAGACGAAACAACUUCAUCCAAAAAGGAGGGGUGCAGUUGUGAAAGCAAGGGGUUAAAAAAAAGUGUAGUAAGCGAUGCAGCUGAGUUGUCCAUAAUAUUGGAACCAUUAGGUUUUUGUCUGACUUGGUCACUAACACUGGGCGUGACCUUGGACAAAUUGUUUUUUUCCGGGGCCUCAGUUUGCUCACCUGUGAAACGAGAGUUUUCACUUAAAAAUUUGUAAGAGUUUCCUCCCAGUAAAAUUAUUUAAGCAGUAGACGGCAGAAACCGUGGUUUCGAGUUUGAAAUAUGCUACUGAAUUAGGACUUUUGACAGUCAUUUUCAAUCUAUCCAAAUUAGAGAUCGUUCUUUCACACAUGUAUUUCCAGGUGUAUUUUAAUGGUUAAUAGGUUGCUAUAUAUUUGAAGUGUUGUGAGAGAUUCUCAUUUGGAGAUACUGUGGUUCUCAAAGUAGGAAAACCAGAAAGCUCAAAGGGAGAGCACUGGUAAGCUGUCUAUAAAUUCCACGACAUAAAAUGCUAAUAAGAAUCUGUGCUCCAGGGAAUUCGAGACUGAUUACCGCAUCAAAUUAGCUUGCGUUUUCAACCUGAGAGCAUGAUUAUAAACAUAUCUUGCAAGAUUUCUACUAAUAUCCAGAAAAUUACCUAGUAUCUUAAGAGGCAAAAUCUCUUAAGUUGGUUUAAGUUUUAGAUGGCAAUGGAAGUGAUUUUUAAAAAGGACUACCAUACAAAAUGCAUUUUCUGGAAAAAUAUCUUGUACAAGCUGAAUAUCAGAUGCACAGUACCAGUGAUUCUCACAGUAUUCUAUGCCACUAGAGUGUUCUUUAAAAUUUAAAAUUUUGAAAAAAGAUUUAAUAGCUUGGCCCUUACUAAAUCACAUUUUUGAGGGAUGGGACCUGGAAAUCUGUCUUGUUAGCAACUCCACCCACCGCUGUUGUGGUUCUUCGAUAAUAUAAAAUCAUGAAUGUCUGUAUUAUAUUACAAUCUAGUAAACCCAUAAUAUUUAUACUAUUCCUAACUAGAAAAAGGUAAAAGUGUUCCUGCCUGGGAAAUCCCAUUGACAGAAGAGUCUGGUGGGUUACAGUACAUGGGUCACAAGUGUUGAACACAAUUUAGUGACUAAACAAUUAGCAACCAUCAAAUUCACAGAUUAGCUAUUUCUAGAAAAUGUUUUCUUUCCUCCUACCUCUUAAAUCAACAUCAUUUACUUUAAGAAAAGGCAGUUGCAACCACCAUUCCGAUCCUUCUAGAACUCCAAGGAAGGAAUGUUCACUCUUGAAGAAAAACAUUUGCAGCAUGAAAUUAGGAUAUUGUGUCCAGUUACAUGCAAUUAAAUUAAUGCUCAGAUUGAAAACCUGACAGUACUCCCCUAAUUAAUCACUGUCAAAUGUGUUUUGUAAAUAUAUUCUUCAGAGGUAAGAAAGAGCUCUGGACUCUUGAGUUAGAGAAUGAAAAACCAUCAUUUACUAGGUAAAUGAGUUUGGAAAGAUAACUGUUUUGGGGGGUUUCUUUCCUCAUCUAAAUGGAGAGUAAUUCCUGUUUUAACUUUUAUGGGAUAUUAUAUGAGAUAAUAUAUAUAAAAGUAUCCUAAUAAUCUUUGACAUCAGACAUUUAACUCAUCUGAAAACAGUAAAAUCAUUUGGAACUCUUACCUACAUACAAUAUGAGAAAUGCUGAAAUUGAACUCUAUACUCAAUAACCUUAAAGCAUCUUUUUUAGUUGUUACUGUUAAGUGACUGUUUGCCAAAUGAUUUGAGAUAUAGUGACAAAAGAAGCAGACAUGUUUCCUGCUCUUAGAGGUUUUACAGUCUAGCAUCACAGAAAUGUAUUAUCGUCAUAUCAAUGAACAUGUGAUCAUCUCUUCUGGUUCACUGACCUAUGCUCAUCAUGUCAUGCCUUUAGUAAAAGCCUGCUCAGCCUUCUAUACCAAUGCUGUUCAAUGUCUGUUAGCAUCUGCCUCUUAGCAGUUUAUAAUCUAGAACAGAAAGCAAUGGACACCAUAAUUUUUUGGCAGAUAUUAUAAGAUGGCUUACUCAACACUUAUCCAACCCCCUUCUAGCUUGCUUUUCUGUACUUCAGAAGUUAGAAAAUUAUAAAAUACUGUUUCAACACUGCCUUGCAACUGGAGUACUGGCAUGGAUGAGUGGUGUGCUGGUAAGUCAUUAAGGAUGGCUGGAGGAGGGGAAAGACCCUGAUUUCUAGUACUGACCAAUUUUCAUUGUGUGAAUACUCCCAGGCUAUCAAAGUGGUUUCACUGAAUGGGGAGUUAGUUGGAGAAGAAGCUGAGGAUUACCAGCUAGCUUCAGCCUUUCACUCCAUGCGACCUAGUUUCCAGCAAUCAAAUGUGCCCAUUCAAGACAUAGACCUGAAAAUGAGCAACACAAUGCCUCAACUGCACUCAGGGCAAUGGGAUUUUCUGGCAAACACCAUGGCAGAGGUGUCUGAUUCUUCUGAGUAGCUGGGGAGGAAUUCUGGCAUCCGUUUUGGGAGUCUUAGGUGCUGUGGCAAGAGGUGCUACGGUGGGUUUCUGCUAGAAUAGCAAUGUGAUGUGGGAUGAAUGUUCUUCCUGGUGUGGUUUUUUUCUGGAUGUUGUUUCUAGCGAUGUAUUAUCCAAGCCUGAUUGUCUGGUCCUCUCAGAGAUCUAUGAGCUAAGUACUAUCCUUUAAUCCCUUUCUGCUUAAACUAGCUCAGUCACAGUCAGCUACACAGUUUGUUGAGCCCAGAGCAAAAUGAAAAAUGUAGGGCCCCUGUUCACAAAGCAGGAAAAAAGUUGCCAUUACAUGUACUGAAAAUAUAAGGCUUUUUCUUUCUUCUGUCAUCUCUCCCUCAACUUGUCAUGCUGUUUUUUUAAUUUGUGUUUUAAUGUCAUUCUGAGUGUCGAAAAAUUAGAAUUUUAGAUUAUUAGGAUGAAUUUUAUAAUGUAUCUUUAAUUGUGCAGUGCCAUUUAUAGAUGCAAAUUCAAGAGCAUUUAACUCAUACACGAAAUCACCAAAAUUACACAGUUCAUAUUUUGUAGUUUGUACAUCCCACAAGGAUGUAUUUUGUGCUUUUCAGAGCAGUGUAAAUACUGCAUACAACCAACUCAGCUGUUUUUCUUUCCCUUCUUGAUAGGAGCACAGCCUAUCAACCUGAGUAAGGAAGGACUGAACUGAAAGGAACUAUGGGUUGCCCUACCUUUCCCCUUCCUUCUGUGUCAUCAUUUUCAGUGAAAAUAGUCAUACAGAAAAGUAACACACAAGAAAGGAUAUGACAGAGUUAUUUGGUCACGUGUGUAUCUUAAGAUGCCACUGUCUUGUUUCUGUACCUGACACAACUUCUGGUUGAAAUGGAAUGCAUUGCCUCUUAGAACUGUCAGUGCCUCCACUAAAUCAGUCGCUGAUGUAACAUGCUUGCCUUGUAGCCACUUUGUAACUCUCUGAGUUCCUGCACUACUUAGGUUCAUCAUAAUCCUUGUGAGGCAUUAUACUGAUGUAUGCAAACUGGGUAUAAGGAAAAAGACAAACAGGUUGCCUCCUCUACUUGCCUGUAUGAUCCAUUGUACCACUGACUUCUUUUAUAAAACAGACAUUCAAACAUAAAAGUAUUAAGAUUUUCAGCAUGGUAACUGCAGAGCAUUAAACCAAGCAGUGGACCCUGUAUGACUGCACAGUUUGCAUGCCCAUGAAGUUGACCCUGAGCUCAGUGUUUCUCAAGGGGGGUUCUCCUGAUAUUUUGGAUGAAACAAUUCUUUAUUGUGCAGGAUAUUUAACAUCCCUGACCCCUGGGCACUACAUUCCACUGUGAUAAAAAUGCCCCCAUAUAUUUCUAAAUGCCCCCAAAGAGGAGUUACUUCUCUCUACUGAACUCCUGGAGUGGACUCUGAUGUCUGCAGCUAGGAACCAUGAUCAUUACAGAUCUAGGAAAGGUCAUGUGCAAUUUUUGCUUUGGAUUCUCAAGCAGAGCAAAAUACAGAGUUGAGUUAAAAAAAGAUUUCAAAAUUCUCAUACCUGGGAGAGCAGAAUUAUGGUGAUCUUUUUUUUCCAUUAUCAGAAAAAUAAUAUGAACGACCUUGGUGAUGAAGCAAACAUUUGGGAAUGAAAAUUUAAAGGGGACCAGUGAAUUUUAUGUGUCACUUGCAUAUAAAUGGUAGUUGAUCUUUUCUAAGGGAAAUUUUUACUCAGUCCUUCAUACAGUGUCUGGCCUCUUUGAAACCAUGAUGGAAAAGAAACUCAUUUCCUCCUGGAAGGGAUUUAGAAGACCUAAGUAAAUAUGGCAAACUCUGGAGGCAGUUGCCAUUGGACUGCUCGCUCUCAAAAAGAGUUCAUGUAGGUUUCCCCCAGUUUAUUCACAGCAGUCAUCUGGGUAUAAGAUAGGCACAUAAAUAUGUAUUGCCUGAAUGAUUAAUAAAAUAUUUUUUUACUAAAAGAAUGGAGUUUUAUGUCUCUUCUUUAAAAAAAAAAAAAAACUGAAGGACAGUAAAAUUAAUCAUGGUGAGAGCUGAAUUUCUCUGUUCUUAUCUUUUUAACCAGUUAAUCUGCUCAGUCACAGGGAGAAACAAAACUUUCAGAAAACAACUUUCAACUCUUCUACUUCCAUAAAUUAGCAGUAGUAGUUUUAAGGGAGAGACCAAUAGCCUAUAAAUUAAAGAAGAUGUUUAGGAAACAAAAAACUUUCAGAAUAGAGUAAUAUUAGAAAUGAUGCUUGCGCUCUCCAGGACCCUCAUCUAAAUUACAUAUCCAGAACUAAUAUUGGGGCAUUUCCAGUGGAUUAUGCCUAGGCCGGAAGAAACCAAACCCAUAUAAUGAAUGAGGUUAGUUUAAGUUCUCAGUUUAAAUAAUCAAAAUAACAAAAUCUUACAAGCAAGUGUCUGUAGACAUAUCUCAGGGUAGUUUUCCCUUGCCCCAAAGUCCCCACUGCACAGCUUAAAUCACACUGCAGGAGAACUUCCACUAAUAAUUGUUACUGACAGUAAACUCUCCUGGGUUUUGAUCCUCAAUUUGCAUCCCCUUUCCAGGAGCCAGGAGAGCCUAUUUACUGUCAGAUGUGUAGGUCACAGAACACUUGUGUUUCCUUAUUUCAGUAAAAUAUGUUUCUCUAAUCUUAAAGAUUUGAAAUGCAUAGGAAAGAAAAUAUGAAAAACCAUAAAAUAUAGGACAUUCAAUCCCACCCAAAGGCAGUUAUGAUUAACAUUUUAGUCCAUUUUUUCCCUAGAAAAUGUUUCAAUAAAUACUUUUCAUAAUGGAAAUAAUCUCUUGGGUUCUUUUUUUCACUUUACAUUGAAGCAGAAACAUUUCCCAUGCAAAUGAGAAUUCUUUGUAUACAUUGUUCUAAUGGAUGCAGAAUACACUGUGUCAUGGAUGUACAAUAGCUUCCAUUUUCCUACUGUUGGCCAGUAACAAUGUUUCAAAUUUUGUUAUAAAUAUCACAGUGAUUAGCUCCAUUUUGGAUCCUACUCUUAACUUUGCAGGAAUUUACUUUACUGUUUAUUAUUUCACAAGAGCAUCAGUUCUCCAUACAUGCCAUGUUCUUCCUCUCCAAAGAAGAGAGAACUGUAUGUGAUUUUCUUUCUGCCUGGUUUGUUCUUCCACUCUCCACCUCUUUUCCCUAGUUACUCUUUAAAUUUCAGGUCAGGGACUUCCUUGGUGGUCCAGUGGCUAAGACUCUGAGCUCCCAGUCCAGGGGGCCCAGGUUCGAUCCUUGGUCAGGGAGCUAGAUCCCACAUGCUACAACUAAGACCCAGAGCAGCCAAAUUAAAAAAAAAAAAAAAUUCAGGUCAAAGUUCACUUAUGGAGGGCUUCCCCAACUGUAUUUGAUUAUGUUUCUCUGUUACACACUCUAAUUGUACUGUUUUUUUUUCCAUAGCACUUACCUUGUUGCAAUAACCCAUUCACUUGUGUAUAAUUUAAUUUUUGUCCCCCCCUCCAACUAGAAUACUACAAUCAUUAUCUGGAUAAGCAGUGAUUAUAAUGCUGUAAUAAACACAGGCCAAUUAAUGUGAUCUCAUACGUAUCGCUGAUAAAAUGGGUUAAAGCUUGAGGUUGAAAUUAGUCCAAAAAUACUAAGGUGCCAGUUAUUAUGCUAAGAGCUAGGAAUAUAGAAGUGAAAAUGACAGGCAUGACUUCAGCUUUCAUUCUUAUAUUCUAGUGCAGGGUUUAGCAAAUUUUUCCUGUAAAGGGACAGAUAAAUUUUAGGUUUUUCAGGCCAUACGGUCUCUCUCACAAACUAUUCAACUUUGCCAUAGAAACACAAAAACAAUCAUGAAUCACACAUAUAUGAAAGAGUGAAUUCCAAUAAAACUUUAUUUAAAAAACAGGCAGCGGGGCUGGGUUUGAUCCAUGAGCUGUUCACUGCUCCCUGGUCUAGUGGAAAAGACAGCUAUUAAACAGAUCAUUUGAGAUGACCAAAUACUUCCAAAGAACAGGGUGCCAUUCUCACAUGGCAAAGCUGUCCAACUUAGUCUAGAGAGAAGAAUAAAGACUUUCUUGAGGAAUAUGACUCUAAGUUAAUAUUUAAGGAGGAAGAGGAGUUAUCUGGGUAAAAGUAAGGGUAACAAUAGGGACCUUCCUGUGUCAGUAGAUGCUUAAAUUUAGAAGCAAGAUUUUUCAUAGGUAGUAAUGACACAAAUUUAGCUGUUUUCUCUUGGUCACCUAUAUUAAGCAUGUAUUUUAUUCCUUCUAAGCAUUUUGUAUUGUUUUAACUUUUUGUUAACUUGUUGAUAUCUAUAAAGUCCUAUGUUAGAUGCUGAGGGUGAUUCAAAAAAUGUAAGACCUAGCUCUGUGCUAAAGUAUUAUGUAAUUGACCAAUAAAUUGUAAGUUUCUUGACAUUUUGACAUUUCCUUUUUUACUUGCACAGUAUCACACAUAUGGUUGGUACUGCAGAAAUAGUUUUCCCCUGCUCUCUGCAUUGCACCAUUUGCUGACAAAAUGGUUUCCAGUAUAGCCACUUCUGUAUGACUUGGACAAAACGUGCUGCUCUCUGAAGCAGACACUAUUCUGAAGGCAUCAGUAACAGUAAUUUCAGCUUGUUGAAGGCAGGGGUUGUUUGUGUAAAGGUCAGCCUGUCAGUAAAUAACAUGCCAACCUGUUCCUUCAAGAUUGUAACAAACCUUUGUAUGUGUGUUUUUAUAUCUUUAAAAUUAAAAAAAAAAUUUUAAAGAAUAGUGGGAAACUGUACCCAGUGGUCUCACCAGAUGUUUUCAAACCAGAACUAGGGCAGUUGUGUUGUAAUUUGUUUUUGAAACAUUUACUUCCACAAAUUUAUGACAGCAGGGAACUGAGAGGUGGGUUUUGUUGUUGUUUUUUUUUUGCCUAAACUAGCAAGUAAUUUCAUUUUCCAUUCGACUUUAGCAGACCUAGCCUUAGGAUGAAAAUAUGGGACUUCCCAGAUAAUCCAUUGAGAACUGCACUCUCCCGGUGCAGGGCCCUGGGUUCGAUUCCUGGUUGGGGAACCAGAUCCCACAUACCACAGCUAAGAUCGAAGACCACACAUGCUGCAGCUAACACUCGGCACAGCCAAAUAUUUUUAAAAUGUGAAGCAGAGGUUCUUGCCAAGUUUAAAAAGUACAGCAAAGAUUAGUCUUAAGAAUGAGGGGAAACAUUACUCAUUUUUCUAGAGCCGCUGCUUCUGCAUUACUAUGAGCUGUUCCUAGACUGUAAACACAUAUACAUAAAGGAGAAAGACACCUUUCUAGAAUAUCCAGUCCCCUGUGCUAGGGAUAUCCAGGGUCUUUCCAAGAUUAUUAAUGACCAUGACACUUGGCUACAUCUGCCUCUUUACCAGUGUUCCUGCCCUCAUCCUGAGUAAAUUUCAUCACCCAGAGAGACAGCUUCCUAGCACCAGCCUCAGAGUUCCUUGAUGUGAUCUUCAGCCUCUCGCUUCUGUUGCCACACUGAGAAUCUCAUCAUACAUCCAACUCCUCUGACUUCAGAAAUACAGUCUUCACAUCUGGCCAGAACUUUCAUCCUAACUCGCUGUCUCAGUUACUCCCAGCACAGCAAUUCUCAGUUCCCUGACGUCUCAUUUCCAGUGCUCUUCCCAGCUCUGCUGCAGCCUCUACCUUCUCGGGUUUCUCUGAGUUGGGAACUCCAUUCCAGAGACUUCACUUCUUUCUCCCUAUCAGCCUUCUCCUGCCUUCACUUCUUUUGUCUCCUGCUGCAUUCUGUUUUAAGUUAUCACUCUUGCCUGGAACUAUGUCUCCUUUGCUGUGUUGCCCUGGUAUCACCUGGGAAAACACCAGUUUCACUGUCUGCUCCCAGGUUGCUGAGUGCACCCAGAUAGAGAAAAAUAACUGCUGUGCGUAUUGGCAGUUAUGUUCAGGCAGUUAUGAGCAGUUCAGUCGCUCAGUCAUGUCCAGCUCUUUGUGAUCCCACGGACUGCAGCUCACCAGGCUUCCCUGUCUGUCAUCAACUCCCAGAGCUUGUUCAAACUCAUGUCCAUUGAGUCGGUGAUGCCAUCCAACCAUCUCAUCCUCUGUCGUCCCCUUCUCCUCCUGCCUUUAAUCUUUCCCAGCAUCAGGGUCUUUUCCAGUGAAUCAGUUCUUCACAUCAGGUUUCCAAAGUAUUGGAGUUUGUUUCAGCUUCAGCAUCAGUCCUUCCAAUGAAUAUUCAGGACUGAUUUCUUUUAGGAUUGACUGGUUUGAUCUCCUUGCAGUCCAGGGGACUCUCGAGAGUCUUCUCCAGCACCACAAUUUAAAAGCAUCAGUUCUUCGAUGCUCAGCCUUCUUUAUGUGUUCAACUCUCACAUCCAUACAUGACUACUGAAAAAAACCAUAGCUUUGACUAGACAGACUUUUUUCAGUGCAAUAAAUUCACCUUUGUUGAUAAUGCUAAAUUGUCACUUUGUCAGUAACACUAAAUUCAGGACCUCCAAUCCUGGCUAGAUCAUUCUCUAUCCAUACUGUUGGGAAGAGAAGGUUUUCUUUAUAAUGUAUUAGUCUCUACCCAUCUGAACCUCCUGCUUCAUAAACCAAGAUACAAUGUUAUAAAUUCUUUGUAUACCCAAAAGUACUAGUAGGCUGAAUCAUUUCAAUUACAUUAACCUCUCUCUGAUUCUCUAAUUUAGCUUUUGUGCUUACUUUCCUGUUUUACUUUAUAUCAAUAGUUUGGGGUCUUGUCUAUCCAAUAAGGUAAAUGUUUAAUGUUUUUAAAAUUAAUAUUUGAAUAGUCAAAAAGAACAGUCUCAAACAUUAUGGAAUGAAAUGAUAAUGGAAGGGAAAUCACUACUACGAUACUUACCCUUUUAGAAGCAAAUCCAAGUAGUCUCCAGUUGUAACUUGGAGCCAGAGGCCUAAGGCUCAGCUCACUUGAUUCAUUCCAUUCUUGCCUUUCCCAGCUUCCCCUUUCCAUCAUUUCUGAUCCCACAAAUUUCUGAGAACACACUCCCUUUCCCGCCUGAACUAGCAGGCAAAGCAGUACUGCAUGGAUGGGCAACAGCAGUGUGUAUGUUUGUACAUAUACUUGUUUACUGAGUGGCGGCAUGGUUAAGAAUUCACUCUACAACCCAGCUUCCCUAGGUCCCUGCUCUGUGAUUUUGGGCAGAUUACUUUCUGUACCUCAGUUCUCCCAUCCGAGAUAUACAGAUGAUAAUACUAAGUUCCUACCUCACAGAGUGGUUGUGAGGAUUGAAUUGUUAUUUUAGUUACUAAGUUGUAUCUGAUUCUUUUGCAACCCCGUAGAUGGAGCCCACCAAGCCCCUUUGUCCAUGGGAUUUUCCAGGCAAGAAUACUGGAGUGGGUUGCUCUGCCUUUCUGCGGGGCAAUCUUCCUGAUCCAGGAAUUGAACCUGUGUCUCUUGCAUUGGCAGAAGAUUGAAUUAUGUGUUUUAAAUGAGUUAAUACCUUAAAACUGAAAUGAUAAAUGGCUGCCCGCCCAACUUAUGAUUCUUAGGCAACUCCAUUCUACCAACAAACCACUCAUUUUGAUUUGAUAACUCCUGACAACCUACAUUUUGACAACCCUACUUUGGAUGACUUUUCAAUAAAGCCAUGUAUUAAUUGAUGUUGCCUGGAAAGAAAAUGAUGACCAGAGAAAUGGCUAUGCUCUUGGUGUUUUAAAAUAAGAAGAAUCGUGGGACUCUUGUAUACUUGAAGAGAAAUAUACUGUGAAAAAAAUGUUUACUGAUCUUCCACAGUGAUCUGCUGCUGUUAAGACCUUGCAAUGAAAUUUUUCUUUCGAAUAAUGUAAUUUUUCAACUCUAGAAAUUAUAUAAGAUUUUCAAAACUUUUAGUGUCUCUAUUUAGAUACUUUACUUGUUUCCAAAUUAUUUCCUGUUUUUCAUUAUAUGCUUGAACAUAUUUAUAAGGUCUAUUUUAAAAUCCUUUUCUAUUCUAGUAGACUGAUUUUAUCCUAGUUAUGAGUUUCAUUUGCUUUCUUCUUUAUGUGUCUCCUAAUUUUCUGUUGGUGCUGAACCGUACUAUUGAGUUUCUAGACUUUCUUGUCUUCCUUUUUGACAGUAUUUUGUUUCAGCAGGCAGUUAAUUUACUUUCAGAUCAGCUUGAUCCUUUCAAGUCUUGUUUUAAAGUUUCGUUAAGAUGGUUCUAAAGCAGAAGGAGUUAAAAAUUUUUCUUUAAAGAGCCAGGUAGUAAUUAUUUCGGGCUUCCCUGCUGGCUAAGUGGUAAAGAACUGCCUGCCAGUGCAGGAGACACAGGAAGCACAGGUUCAAUACCUGGGAUGGGACAAUCCCCUGGGGAAGGAAAUGGCAACCCAACCAGUAUUCUUGUCUGGGAAAUCACGUGGACGAGGAGCCUGGUGGACUACAGUUCAUGGAGUCACAAAAGAGUCUCUAUUAUAUGCUGUCAGUCAGGGACUAGUCAGUGUCUGAGAUUUACCCUACUUGCAAGCCUACAAAAGUAGCCUGGAUUCUAGCAGAAGACAUAAGACCUCUUGGUCAGAGACAAAGGACUUUAUUAUAGCACAGCAGGCAUCCCAAGUUUCAUAUUCUCAUUUGUUUCCCUUGGUCCCUGAACAUCAUGCUGGCAUUGCAGACUGGAUCCAAGUUGAAUGUCACACACUGUGGAUCUGGAUCACAGCUGAGGAAUCCUGAGCUUAGGAACCUCUCAACUUAUAGCUGCUAGCAAAUCUGUCCAAACUUUGCCCUGGAAGGAGCCAUUCUCUCUAUUUUCCUGGUCAGGAAACAAAGCAACACUUUGUCCUGGAGGGUGACACUGCUGCUGCUAAGUCACUUCAGUCAUGUCUGACUCUGUGCAAUCCCAUAGACAUAGACAGCAGCCCACCAGGCUCCCCCGUCCCUGGGAUUCUCCAGGCAAGAACACUGGAGUGGGUUGCCAUUUCCUUCCCCAGUGCAUGAAAGUGAAAAUGAAGUUGCUCAGUCGUGUCCAACUCUUCAUGACCCCACGGACUGCAGCCUGUCAGGCUCCUCUGCCCAUGGGGUUUUCCAGGCAAGAGUACUGGAGUGGGUUGCCAUUGCCUUCUCCGAUCAAAAGGCUACUGGAUAUACAAAUUUCCUUGGAAAGGUAGUCUGGGACAAAAUUGUUACAAGACAUGCAAAAAUGCCAUGGAAAAUUGUCUUUUACCGAAAACUCUCAUGUUCAAGAGGUCUCCUACUGGUCGGAAUUUAAAUGCUUACCAUCUCCAUGAAAGCAUUGCUUGAGUCUCACAUCCCCAGGAGUUUUUCCUCUGAGAGUUGUUCUUCUCCCAGUUGUUUUGCCUGGCCUUAUGAACUGAUGGGGUCCUGUCUUAUACAUGUGCUUCUUAAUAUUCAAACAAACACUUGAGAUGACCCUUGUGCAGAUUUCUGGAACUCUGUCUCUGCACACCUCUCUCCUCCCUGGUACUCUGCUUCUCAAACUGCAUUUACUUCCAGAGUUCCAGUCUCUUUAAUUCAGCAAAACCGCUGUGCUCUGCUUGAAUUCUCUUUCUUCAUAAUGUCAAUUCACAAAGAACCUCCAGGCAGAAAGCUGGGGCAUUUGAGAACUCUAUUCGUUUGUUUUCUCUUCCCAAGGAACAGAGUCCUAUGCAGCCUGUUCAACUUCUGACAAUUGUUUUAUAUAUAUAUAUAUGUUUUUAUUUUUAUAAUUUUUUUAAAACAGGAGAUCUAGUCUGGUACUAGUUACUCCAUCAUUGCACAACUAUCUUUUUUUAGCAUUAACUUCUUUAUGUGUUUUGGGAUUUUGAUGUGCACAGUCACUGCGUGGGAGAUAUUUCCGUUAUUCUUUCUUACUCCCAUCUCCAAUUUAAUGAGUAUUUUCAUCUGCCUUUAUCUCCAUCCCAUGCUCCAGUCCAGAAACAAGAUCUUAAGAUGGCUGUAGAGGGUUCCUGCUCCUUAUCAAUGUUAGGAAUAUGUCUAAUCUAGUAACUGAGCCAGCUGGUAUCUCAGUUCAUUUGCUGUAAUGAUUUUUUUUUUUUUUUGUCCUUUUGCUUUCUUGGGUCCACUACUUCUGAUAAAUCCACAGCUCCAGGCAAUAUACUGGCAGCAGUUGUAUCCAGCUCCCUUUCAUGGGGCUGGGAAAAGUUAGGUGACUAAUCAUCACUGGUUACCCAGAACAAAGAGAUUUCCUGAAACUCAGGAUUUUCACUGGUAAGGCAGAGAAUGUCCUGGAGAAACCAGGAUGGCUGGUGUGUUCCAGUUCCUGGCUUUCAGAACAAUGCUAGCUUUGGUCUCUGUCUUGACCAAAGUGUUUUAGCCUUGGUGUUCCACCAGAGCCGAAUUUCCCGUUGCCACCAGCUGUUUCAAGGCCCGGGCCUUGAUGGGCUGCAGCUUUAGCUCAGCUCACUGCUUUGCAUUUCUGUUGUGUUUCUAGUGCGCAAAGAUGUUUAUCUCAUUUUUUUGAGACCAGCAAUGACCUUUGGCUUUCUUUUUCUAUUUUAUCUGCAUUACCAUGUGUUUAAAGCAUACAGGAUGAACUGAAGCAUGAAUUCAAUAUGCCACCUGACUGGAAAUUCUACUGAUUCUUUUUCAAUUUGGUACUGACUUAAUUUAAGAAAUAAUGUAAUGGAAUAGCCUGUUGUAUUUAGAAGCCAUUCCAGUCAUUUUGAGGGACCUCAAAUCACAGAAAUCCAGGUGAAUAGUCACUGUCCAUAUAGUGGCUGUAUUCUUUGAGGGCAUUGUAACUCAGUACUUAAGUUAGCAUAGAACAAAGGAGAAACAGCAUUCUAACUUUGCUCCAUUCUACUACUUCUGGUUAAUGACAAUGGCAUGAAUAAUGCUUUAUUCUCAUCUCCAUUUCCACUUUGAAUUCUUCUCCAUGAAUUUCUUAUUCAUCCCUUCCUGAAGACACAGAAGAAAGAAAGUCAAAGGGAGGUUGAGGCAGUGGUUUCCAACCUCUUUCUUAUGCAGCAACCUUCAAACUGGUUUUGGAGAACAUAUGCAUUUUCAGACCCUUGGACAUAACUUUGGUGACCUAACAUGGUUACUAGUAGUAACAUGGUUACUACCCUUGAAAUUGGGCAAAAGGAGCAGAAUAAGCUUUUUUGCCUCCCUGUUUGCCUCAGACUAUGCUCUGUCUGUAUUCUUUUUGAUGAGAAGAUUUUUUUAAAAAACAGUUUUCAGCCUUUUGCUCUUCAUUCUAUUGACAAUGACAGUACCAUUAAUUGUCUUGCAGAUUUGCACUGUGAUUUACAGGAAGCAUUUAAACUAUUUCUACUGGAUUAAUGAGUUUUUGAACAUAGAGGUUUUCACAUUUCAAACCCAGGUAUCUAAAUAUCAUGCAAACAAGCUUCUGUCAUAGUACAAUACUAGUGAAGUAGCAAAAACUGUUUCUAGAGCAAAGUAGUUCACACAACCAUCUUAACUCCACUUAGAAAAAUAGUCCCAUUCCCAGCUUUGGCUUCUGUUUUUAAUUGAAGUGGUAGAAAUGUGUACGUGGCCGUUCACAUUGAAACAUUUAAAAAUUGGUAUCUUUACGAGCUAGUCUAUUUUUAACAAAAAUAAAUAUGAGUUAACUGCUCACAUGAUGGAAUUAAAUAUUUUCUGGGAAGUAAUUCAGUGAAGAACAGGGAAGCCUGGCAUGCUGCAGUCCAAGGGGUUGCAAAGAGUUGGACACGACUGAGCGGCUGAACAACAACAAUUUAGUAAAAACCAAAUGAUUCAAGAAGUGAUCACCUUAUUGUUUUAUUGAGUUUUUUUGUCGUUAAAGAAACUAGUUGGACCACGCCUUUUUGGGUAUCUUAAAAUAACUCCACAGGUAGCUGGUCUGAGACUCUGAUGGGGGUGGAGGAGAAUAGAAAAGUUAGAAAAUGAAACAGAGAACUAUCAUUUAGUAAUUGAGAACACACACUUAUUUAACUAGGACUAAAUAUUGCCAGAGCAAGUCCUGUGCUAAAAUUAGACAUUGGGGUUGGUCCAAUAGCAGCACAAGUUAUAAUCCUUUAGAAAUCAUAGCCUGUUGGUUCAAAUCAGGACACUGCAAUGUGAGAAUAUAAAGCACAUAUGUCUUCAUUACAGGACAGUAGAGUUACCAAAGCUAGAACUACUACCUAAAGGUUGGAUUUUAAUUUUUUCUUUUUUGCUUUUCUUUCAUAUAUGAGAAGACCUCUUGAAAAUAUGUAAUUUCCUAGUUCUCUUGCCCCAUGCAUCAAAUGUGUGCAUACACACACACACUCGUGUUUAGGUAGGUCUUGGGAACAGUAUACUAGAACCUAAGAAGAUUUAUGGGAAAGGUAAUGUGAUAUAGUGGAAAGAGAAUAUAUCUUGGAAUUAGACAUACCUUCCUGUGAAUCCUAGCUCCAUCAUACUCUUUGAAACCUUGGAGAAAACAAUUUGUAUGGACCUCAGAUUUUUUUAUUUGGUUUUUUUAAAAUCAGAAAAUGUCAGGUGCUGAGAAAAUGUUUUCCUCUCUCCCAUCUGUACCACCAUCAGAGGACAUUUAGACAGAUAGCUAGAUAGACAGAAUUGUGUUAACUUCAUAUUUUUUGUGUACCAGGCACUAUAGUACAUACUACCUCAUUUAGUCUUGACACACCCAUGAAGUAGUGAAGCUUUAACAGCCCUUAUAUAUGUCUUUAGGCUUUGCUUGCCUUAAGGAUCAUGCUAGAAAGUGACAGAACUGAGACGAGAGUGCUCCUAACCACUGUGAUUUCAGCCUCACAAAAAGUCAAAACUUAAAGAUAUCCUAUCAGUGAAAUGUAGUGAGAAAUGUAACAACAAACCAUUAGUUUCUCAGCAGAUUUACCUUUUUUAUCCAAAUUUAAUUUUGAUACAUGUAUUAGUUUGUUAGGGCUGCCAUACAAAAUACCACUGACUGUGUAGCUUAAACAACAGAAGGUUAUUUUCCCACUAUUCUGGAGGCUCCAAGUCCAAGAUGAAGGUGUUAGCAAGUUUGAUUUCUUUUCAUGCCUCUCUCCCUGGGUUGCAGGUGGCUGGCUGCCUUCUCUGUAUCCUCGCAUGAUCAUCCCUCUAUUUUUCUGUGUCCUAACCUACUCUUCUAGUCAUUUUGGAUUAAUGACUCCAUUUUGACUUAAUUACCCCCUUUAAAGGCCCUGUCUCUAAUAGAUAUAGUCACAUUCAAGGUCUUUGGGGUUAGAGCUUCAGCAUAUGAAUUUGAAGGAACACAAUUCAGCUCCUAACAAGGCAUAUAUCGCAAAAGACAUGUGAUACCAAAUGAAAAAGAAAAUAAACCUGCUCCCCUGAAUGUUUACUAUGUGUCAAACAUUGUUCAAAUAUGUGUUUACACAUAUUUAUUUAAUCCAUACAAGCCAAGUACUAUUCUUAGCCCCAUUUGGUACUGAGAGGUUAGGUAGUUUAUUAAGUCCCAUGCGUGUGUUUGUGCUAAGUUGCUUCAGUUGUGAAGCAACUCUUUGAGACCCUGUGGAGUCUCAAAGCCCACCAGGCUCCUCUGUCCGUGGGAUUCUCCAGGCAAGAAUACUGGAGUGGGUAUCCAUUCCCUUCUCCAGGGGAUCUUCCUGACCCAGGGAUCGAACCUGUGUCUCCCUGUGGCUCCUGCAUUGCAGGUGGAUUCUUUACUGCUGAGCCAUCUGGGAAGCCCAUCAAGUCACAUAACUAGUAAGUAAUAGGAGAACAUUUGAAUCCACAGAGCCUGACACCAGAGUCUGUACUCACACGGCCCCCUCUCAACUAGAAGCAUCCUGUUUGGGCCAAAGAAACAGAAAACACAGGAGUAUCUAUUUGAGGUAAAAUGAUGAUUAAACUUCAAAAGUCUGUAUAUGUUUAAUUAAUAAUUACUAGGCUGUCCUACAUGAAAUAUAGUGAAGCAGCUUUCAUUUAUUCCGUGGUUAUGGCUGAAGUGUACAUUGAAAGGACUGAUGCUGAGGCUGAAACUCCAAUACUUUGGCCACCUCAUGCGAAGAGUUGACUUGUUGGAAAAGACCCUGAUGCUGGGAGGGACUGGGGGCAAGAGGAGAAGGGGACGACAGAGGAUGAGAUGGCUGGAUGGCAUCACUGACUCGAUGCACGUGAGUUUGGGUGAAUUCCAGGAGUUGGUGAUGGACAGGGAGGCCUGGCAUGAUGCGAUUCAUGGGGUUGGAAAGAGUUGGACACGACUGAGUGACUGAACUGAACUAUAGCUGAAGUAAUAAAUCAGUCACUUAGAAAAUGGCAAAGAAAAAUUCUAAGUUAAUUUCUUGCAUCCUACUCUAUGUAAUGAAGGAUUAAUACAAAGUAUUAUAUUUCUGUUCUAAAUCUUCAAAGGCAAAUAGUACCCAUAAUGAAGCAUCAAUAUUUGAAGACCUAGGACACAUAUGCUUCACUUUUGAUUUUUCUCCCAUGUGGGCAUCAUUCCUGCUUCAGUACAUUAAUUGAAGCAAGAAGAGAAGCUGAGUUCCAUGUCUGGAAAUGUUGGUCUUAGGGAUAGCAAUAUGUUCCUUGCAGCCACUGAAGUCUGUAAGUCUACAGAAGCAAGAACUUGCAGCCAAACGUGACUAGAAAAAGAAAUUGUAAACUACCCCACCCCCUCCCAGAAUCCCCCAGACAGUUAGGAAGGAAUGUAGGGCUCCCACUGCACCAAGGAACAGGAUUUGAGCCGAUUUUGUUGAGUCUCAAAGGACAGUGUUCUUCAGCUUCCAUCUGGUUUAAAUCCAAAGUGAACAAAAGAAUAGACUCAGAGUUAGGAGUCAGAUCACAGCUGUGGUGCUCUCUUUGCCAGUCAUUUUAGUUUGUCAACAGAGCCUUGGCCUUCAAGAUGCUUACAGUUCGGUGAUGAGGAUGGGGGUGUUUACAGAGCACCACAGUCAAGUUCCAAGUUGAACAUAAUCCAUAUGAAAACGAAGACUGGAGAUACUUGUCACAGCAGCUCAGGAUUUUAGAGGCCACUGCUGACUGGAGUUAUCAAGGCAAACUCAAUGGAGAAAAGCUGAAUGUUGAGAUGGACCUCAAAAGUAGGAUUUGCUGGGUAGGGGGAGGUGAAGUUGUGUUAGAGGAUUCAGUAGCAGCUGGGGCACAAAGGCAGGAGUGAGGGAGACAGGCAGGACAACAAAGAAACUUCGUCCCUGGAACAGACAGAUUUGGGGGAGUUAUGGGAAAUAUUUUAGGAUUAAACAGACUGGGGUCAGAUGAUGAAUAUGACUCAUGCUAGAGGUCAACAUUGUUAUUCUGUUAGUUGAAUUGCCAACUGAAAUUAUCUCAGUUCUCUGAACAUGUUGGUUAGAACACGUCUCAACAGAACAAAGUGCUUUGCCCCUACUAUAUAAAAAACAUAAUGAAUGAGAACCUACUGUAGAGCACAAGGAACUCUACUCAGUACCCUGUAAUGACCUAUAUGAGAAAAGAAUCUUAAAAAGAGUGGAUAUGUGUGUGUGUCUAACUGAUUCACUUUGCUGUACCACAGAAACUAACAGCAUUGUAAAAAUCAACUAUACUCCAAUAAAAAUAAUAAUGAAAAAAGAACUCAGAGCUUUGCAUUUAGUGGCAUGCUUGUUAUCCUUAAGGCUGCUUAGACUACAACAUGCUCUGUGGACCACUGUCCCUCCAGAUUUGUGUCAUGCCUAAUUGAGCUGGGAGAUGGUGCACCUCUUGGCUCUAGGCCUACACAGACUCAGCCUGGCAGGAGGCCUCAGAGCAGCUUACGUGGUUCCAAGUGCCCAGCCGGAGUCAGGAGGAGGGUGCUGCUGCCCCAGGAAGGCACAUAGCCUCAGAAAUGGCUUCUCCUUUUUUCAGUCAAUGAGAUACGCAUUCUCUGUCUGCGUUUGAUGAACCUUCAGAGGGGAGAGCUCUAGGGAAUUCUACACUCUCCACUUCCCUUCCCUUCCUAUCUCCAAGGCUGUCUUGAAGUAGAAAUUUUAGUCUCACAGACCUUUGACUUCUGACUCGCCUGUAUGAUGUUAGACAAACGACUAAGUUUUUUGAGCUCAUUAUAUUUUUUAAAUCUGUAAAAUAGCCCAGCAACUAUGAGGUUACUCUUCAUUCUCUUCCUCUUUUGUGACUUCUCUCAGUUGCUGAUGUUUUGGAAGAACAUCUUUUUCUGAUCAUAAAUGUGCUCAGCUAUCAAGGAGGUAAAAACUACCAUUCAGGACACUUAGGGAUCCUGAAGGAAACAUGGGGGUGGGUGGAGUUGGCCUGCCCUUUGCCGCCUCCCAACCCUGUGUUUAUUUCCUCAGGAUAGGAUUUCAAGUCAACUGGAGCCACUCCUCAGGAUAGCAUAGAGCUCAACAGGAUCCAGAGUGCUUGGAAAUCAUCUCAGAGUAGAGGGAUCAACUAUCCUUAUUUGUAUUGGGUUUAAAAGAAGAAACAAUGGCCUAAAGCCAUCAUGUGGCCUAAAGCAUAUAAAAAUUAAGGUUACAUGUGACAAAGCACUUUAUGAGUUCUGAAACAGUUAGGCAAGGCCAUAAACUAUCAUAUUACUAAAUUGCUAUCAUUUCUAACGUUCAAGGCUCCCAACUACAAGUUUGUCCUUAGAAAUUGCAAUGUGUUCUUGAUAAUUUGAGUGUACCCAAUUGUGCUUCCAGCUAAGAAGCACGUACGGUUUGCUGGUUAGUAUUUUGCCUAUAUUUGAAUCCUAAAAAUAACCUCCUCAUGAGAACAGGAUGAGCUUUGUGAAGAUUAUAUUCCAGUUGGUUAGAAAUGGAAGGCACAUUUUUCCCAUUGCCUCCUGCCUUUCAUUUCUAAACACAUUUGUCUCUGAAGCAGAGGAGACUAUGAGAGCAGCUGCAGUGAGCAGCUGUAGAAUCUUCUGUCAUCUGCUCUCUGGCUUUCCAGACUUUGUCCCAUCCUCUGCUCCCAGUU
ensembl:lncRNA